UGGAUCCAGACUUUGAUUCUGGCUCAGGAUGAACGCUAGCUACAGGCUUAACACAUGCAAGUCGAGGGGCAGCGGGAUUGAAGCUUGCUUCAAUUGCCGGCGACCGGCGCACGGGUGAGUAACGCGUAUCCAACCUUCCGUACACUCAGGGAUAGCCUUUCGAAAGAAAGAUUAAUACCUGAUGGUAUGAUGAGAUUGCAUGAUAGCAUCAUUAAAGAUUUAUCGGUGUACGAUGGGGAUGCGUUCCAUUAGGUAGUAGGCGGGGUAACGGCCCACCUAGCCAACGAUGGAUAGGGGUUCUGAGAGGAAGGUCCCCCACAUUGGAACUGAGACACGGUCCAAACUCCUACGGGAGGCAGCAGUGAGGAAUAUUGGUCAAUGGACGAGAGUCUGAACCAGCCAAGUAGCGUGAAGGAUGAAGGUCCUACAGAUUGUAAACUUCUUUUAUAAGGGAAUAAACCCUCCCACGUGUGGGAGCUUGUAUGUACCUUAUGAAUAAGCAUCGGCUAACUCCGUGCCAGCUGCCGCGGUAAUACGGAGGAUGCGAGCGUUAUCCGGAUUUAUUGGGUUUAAAGGGAGCGCAGACGGGUCGUUAAGUCAGCUGUGAAAGUUUGGGGCUCAACCUUAAAAUUGCAGUUGAUACUGGCGUCCUUGAGUGCGGUCGAGGUGUGCGGAAUUCGUGGUGUAGCGGUGAAAUGCUUAGAUAUCACGAAGAACUCCGAUUGCGAAGGCAGCACACUAAUCCGUAACUGACGUUCAUGCUCGAAAGUGUGGGUAUCAAACAGGAUUAGAUACCCUGGUAGUCCACACGGUAAACGAUGGAUACUCGCUGUUGGCGAUAUACUGUCAGCGGCUUAGCGAAAGCGUUAAGUAUCCCACCUGGGGAGUACGCCGGCAACGGUGCAACUCAAAGGAAUUGAC
rnacentral:rRNA from 1 species